CACGCCGUAAACGAUGUCGACUAGCCGUUCGGUCCAUUUAAGGAUUGAGUGGCGCAGCCAACGCGAUAAGUCGACCGCCUGGGGAGUACGGCCGCAAGGUUAAAACUCAAAGGAAUUGAC
rnacentral:rRNA from 1 species